rnacentral:rRNA from 1 species
CAGCAGUAGGGAAUCUUCCGCAAUGGACGAAAGUCUGACGGAGCAACGCCGCGUGAGUGAAGAAGGUUUUCGGAUCGUAAAACUCUGUUGUUAGGGAAGAACAAGUCAGGUAGUAACUGACCUGACCUUGACGGUACCUAACCAGAAAGCCACGGCUAACUACGUGCCAGCAGCCGCGGUAAUACGUAGGUGGCAAGCGUUGUCCGGAUUUAUUGGGCGUAAAGCGCUCGCAGGCGGUCUUUUAAGUCUGAUGUGAAAGCCCACGGCUUAACCGUGGAGGGUCAUUGGAAACUGGAGGACUUGAGUGCAGAAGAGGAGAGUGGAAUUCCAUGUGUAGCGGUGAAAUGCGUAGAGAUAUGGAGGAACACCAGUGGCGAAGGCGACUCUCUGGUCUGUAACUGACGCUGAGGAGCGAAAGCGUGGGUAGCGAACAGGAUUAGAUACCCUGGUAGUCCACGCCGUAAACGAUGAGUGCUAGGUGUUAGGGGGUUUCCGCCCCUUAGUGCUGAAGUUAACGCAUUAAGCACUCCGCCUGGAGACGCAA